rnacentral:lncRNA from 1 species
UAAUUAACUCAAUUUGAUGGGGUAAUUAUUUUUAGAUCAAGUCCAAUUGAAUUGGAUUCAGUUUGGAUUGACCCGAUUAGGUUAAGUGUUGAUCUAAUCGCUAAGGUGGUUUAGUCUCUGAUUUGAUCAGAGGUUAGGCUUAGUUAAUUCUUGAUUUGAUUAGGAUUUUAUUGAGCCUAAUUAAGCCUAAUUGUGUUGGGUUUAAUCUGGUCUAAUUGUGCUUAACCUAUUUUAAUUAGCUUGGCNNN